AUAGUACCGUGAGGGAAAGGUGAAAAGAACCCCGGGAGGGGAGUGAAAAAGAACCUGAAACCCUGUGUUUACAAGCAGUGAAAGUGCGAGCAAGGCACGAUCACGUACUUUUUGUAGAACGGACCGGCGAGUUACGUUAUGCAGCAAGGUUAAGAACUGAAGGUUCGGAGCCGAAGCGAAAGCGAGUCUGAAUAGGGCGAAAGUUGCAUGACGUAGACCCGAAACCGGGUGACCUAUCCAUGAGCAGGUUGAAGUGGAGGUAAAGCUCCAUGGAGGACCGAACCAGACGUCUGUUGAAAAAGGCGGGGAUGACUUGUGGAUAGGGGAGAAAUUCCAAUCGAACCCGGAGAUAGCUGGUUCUCCUCGAAAUAGCUUUAGGGCUAGCCUCAUGGAUCAUUGGUGGGGGUAGAGCACUGAAUGUGCGCGGGGGCCACAAAGCCUACCAAACGCUAUCAAACUUCGAAUACCAUACAAUGCAGACCAUGGGAGUCAGUCCGCGAGAGAUAAGUUCCGCGGGCAAAAGGGGAACACCCCAGAUCAACCGCUAAGGUCCCCAAGUUCACGUUAAGUGGAGAAGGAUGUGGAAUUGCACAGACAACCAGGAUGUUGGCUCAGAAGCAGCCACACAUUUAAAGAGUGCGUAAUAGCUCACUGGUCGAGUGAUUGUGCGCCGAAGAUGUCCGGGGCUAAACGUGACACCGAAGCGAUGGGUGCAUCUGAAAGGAUGCGCGGUAGAGGAGCAAUGUGCAGAGGCAGAAGCCGUAUCGAGAGGCACGGUGGACACUGCACAAGAGAGAAUGCCGGUAUGAGUAGCGAGAGGCAUGCGAGAAACAUGCCCGUCGAAAGCCCAAGGUUUCCUGGGGAAGGUUCAUCCGCCCAGGGUAAGUCGGGGCCUAAGCCGAGGACGGAAGUCGUAGGCGAUGGACAGCAGGUGUAGAUUCCUGCACUACCGAUGGAAUGAAGCAGUGACACAGAAGGAUAACUCGAGCAGGGUGAUGGUCAACCCUGUGCAAGCAUCAAGGUUGGGUUGUAGUGAAGUACGCAACCCUAUAAGCUGAGGUGUGAUGCGGACCGAAAUUUCAGUAGGGAAGCGAGUGAGUUCACGCUGGCGAGAAAAGCUGCUAGUACAUCCAAAGGUACCCGUACCGGAAACCGACGCAGGUGGGCGAGGAGAGAAUCCUGAGACGAACGGGAGAACCCUUGUUAAGGAACUCGGCAAAAUGACCCCGUAACUUCGGGAGAAGGGGUGCCUCGAAAGAGGCCGCAGAGAAUAGUCACAAGCGACUGUUUAGCAAAAACACAGGUAUCUGCGAAAGCGAGAGCUGACGUAUAGGUGCUGACACCUGCCCGGUGCUGGAAGGUUAAGGGAACAUGUUAGAGCAAUCGAAGCAUCGAACCGAAGCCCCAGUAAACGGCGGCCGUAACUAUAACGGUCCUAAGGUAGCGAAAUUCCUUGUCGGGU
rnacentral:rRNA from 1 species